CAUGCAAGUCGAACGAGGAUAUAUCCUUCGGGAUAUAAGCCGAGUGGCACAAGGGUGAGCAAUGCAUAGAUUACCUACCUUUAGGAUAAGGGCAACUUUGUGAAAACGGAGCUAAUACUUAAUAAUACAAAAGAAAAUAAUUUUUUUUUGUCAAAGGGAGGGUAGCAAUACCUUUCGCCUAGAGAGGGGUUUAUGUCCUAUCAGCUUGUUGGUGGGGUAAUAGCCUACCAAGGCGAAGACGGGUAGCCGGUUUAAGAGGAUGGUCGGCCACACUGGGACUGAGACACUGCCCAGACUUCUACGGAAGGCUGCAGUCGAGAAUCUUUCGCAAUGCCCGAAAGGGUGACGAAGCGACGCCGCGUGGGUGAAGAAGGCCUUCGGGUUGUAAAGCCCUGUCAGGAGUUAUGAAAUGUAAGUGCGCUAAUAUCGUGCUUAUUUGACAAAGGCUCCAAAGGAAGCCACGGCUAACUCUGUGCCAGCAGCCGCGGUAAUACAGAGGUGGCGAGCGUUGUUCGGAAUUAUUGGGCGUAAAGAGCACGUAGGUGGGUUUGCAAGUCAGAUGUGAAAGCCUUCUGUUCAACGGAAGAAUUGCAUCUGAAACUGCUAAUCUUGAGUAUAGGAGGGGAGAAUGGAACUUCUGGUGGAGCGGUGAAAUGCGUAGAUAUCAGAAGGAACGCCGGCGGCGAAAACGAUUCUCUGGCCUAUUACUGACACUCAGUGUGCGAAAGCUAGGGGAGCAAACGGGAUUAGAUACCCCGGUAGUCCUAGCCGUAAACGAUGGGCACUAAGUAGAGGGAAUUACCUAUAUUCUCUCUGCCGUAGCUAACGCAUUAAGUGCCCCGCCUGGGGAGUACGGCCGCAUGGCUAAAACUCAAAAGAAUUGACGGGGGCUCGCACAAGCGGUGGAGCAUGUGGCUUAAUUCGAUGCAACGCGAAAAACCUUACCGGGGCUUGACAUGAUAGAAGUAGGAACCUGAAAGGGGGACGAACGGUAUCCAGUCCGUAGCUAUUACAGGUGUUGCAUGGCUGUCGUCAGCUCGUGUCGUGAGACGUUGGGUUAAGUCCCCUAACGAGCGAAACCCUUGUUUUUAGUUACCAGCGGGUUAUGCCGGGUACUCUAGAAAGACUGCCGUCGUCAAGACGGAGGAAGGUGGGGAUGACGUCAAGUCAUCAUGGCCCUUAUGCCCCGGGCUGCACACGUGCUACAAUGGUCGGUACAGACGGAAGCGAAGCCGAGAGGUGAAGCGAAUCCUAAAAAGCCGAUCUCAGUUCGGAUUGGAGGCUGAAAUUCGCCUCCAUGAAGUUGGAAUCGCUAGUAAUCGCGGAUCAGCAAUGUCGCGGUGAAUAUGUUCCCGAGCCUUGUACACACCGCCCGUCAAGCCACCCAAGCAGGAUGCACCCGAAAACAUUAUAUCUAACCAGGGCAACUUGGAGGAAAAUGUUGAAGGAGUGUUUUGUGAGGAGGACUAAGUCGUAACAAGGUAGUCGUAGGAGAACCUGCGGCUGGAUCACCUCCUUUCU
rnacentral:rRNA from 1 species